rnacentral:rRNA from 1 species
UGAGAAUCUGCCCUUUAGUGAAGAAUACUCCCGAGAAAUCGGGCCUAAUACUGCAUACGUCCUUCGGGAGAAAGGUGGCUUAUGCUGCCGCUAAAGGAUGAGCUUGCGUACUAUUAGCUAGUUGGUGGGGUAAAGGCCUACCAAGGCGAUGAUGGUUAACCGGCCUGAGAGGGUGUUCGGUCACACUGGAACUGAGACACGGUCCAGACUCCUACGGGAGGCAG